UACGUAGGGUGCAAGCGUUGUCCGGAAUUAUUGGGCGUAAAGAGCUCGUAGGCGGUUUGUCGCGUCUGCUGUGAAAACUCGGGGCUUAACUCCGGGCCUGCAGUGGGUACGGGCAGACUAGAGUGAUGUAGGGGAGACUGGAAUUCCUGGUGUAGCGGUGAAAUGCGCAGAUAUCAGGAGGAACACCGAUGGCGAAGGCAGGUCUCUGGGCCACUACUGACGCUGAGAAGCGAAAGCAUGGGGAGCGAACAGG
rnacentral:rRNA from 1 species